GGCCGGUUAGCUCAGUCAGUUGAGCGUGGCGCUAACGACACUAAGGUCGCGGGUUCGAUUCCCGUUUGGUCCC
rnacentral:tRNA from 1 species